rnacentral:rRNA from 1 species
GUUGACCUCGGAUCAGGUAGGGAUACCCGCUGAACUUAAGCAUAUCAAUAAGCGGAGGAAAAGAAACCAACAGGGAUUGCCCUAGUAACGGCGAGUGAAGCGGCAACAGCUCAAAUUUGAAAUCUGGCGCAAGCCCGAGUUGUAAUUUGUAGAGGAUGCUUCUAGGUAGCGACCGGUCUAAGUUCCUUGGAACAGGACGUCAUAGAGGGUGAGAAUCCCGUAUGUGACCGGCCCGCACCUUCUACGUAGCUCCUUCGACGAGUCGAGUUGUUUGGGAAUGCAGCUCUAAAUGGGAGGUAAAUUUCUUCUAAAGCUAAAUACCGGCCAGAGACCGAUAGCGCACAAGUAGAGUGAUCGAAAGAUGAAAAGCACUUUGGAAAGAGAGUUAAAAAGCACGUGAAAUUGUUGAAAGGGAAGCGCUCACAACCAGACUUCUGGGGCGGUGUUCCGCCGGUCUUUUGACCGGUCUACUCGCCGUCCCGAGGCCAACAUCAUCUGGGACCGUCGGAUAAGACCUCAGGAAUGUAGCUCCCCCUCGGGGAGUGUUAUAGCCUGUGGUGAUGCGACGCGUCUCGGGUGAGGUCCGCGCUUCGGCAAGGAUGUUGGCGUAAUGGUUGUCAGCGGCCCGUCUUGAAACACGGACCAAGGAGUCUAACAUCUAUGCGAGUGUUCGGGUGUCAAACCCCUACGCGUAAUGAAAGUGAACGGAGGUGGGAAGCGCAAGCUGCACCAUCGACCGAUCCUGAUGUCCUCGGAUGGAUUUGAGUAAGAGCAUAGCUGUUGGGACCCGAAAGAUGGUGAACUAUGCCUGAAUAGGGUGAAGCCAGAGGAAACUCUGGUGGAGGCUCGCAGCGGUUCUGACGUGCAAAUCGAUCGUCAAAUUUGGGUAUAGGG